rnacentral:tRNA from 1 species
GUGGCUUACUGGUAACAGUAUUCGACUCACAAUCGUAAGGCUGUGAGUUCGAUUCCCGUC